AUCUCCAGCAGUGGCAGGGGGAGGAGAAGCAAGCAUCUUUGUGAUCAUAUGUGAGCAGCAUAUCUUUGUGAUCUGCUUUACAGGUCUGAAGAGCAGCUGGAGAGAGUAACUUGGAAGUCAGAAACAUCCCUUGACACUUCUGGAAUUCCAGAGUCCACAGCAAAGAUGUAAAGAACAAACCCAAGACAUGCCUACUAAGCCCAACCUGUACUUUCUAGCUGUCUCCAGAAAAACAGACAAACCUAAUGAGAGGAGACUGUCUCCAUCUCUGCUCACCCCUCAAAAGAACACCUUGAGUUCAGUUCCCUAAUGAUUCUUGCUUUUUGUCUGAAUACAUAGAAAAGUAUCUUAACACGAAACUAUUGUUUGAAUCGUGGUUCCAGGGUAAAAGUCAUCCUGUGAUGGGUUAUAAGAAAUAAAUACCGUAUUCUGGGAAGAUUUUUCUGAGUG
rnacentral:lncRNA from 1 species